rnacentral:rRNA from 1 species
CAAUAGCGUAUAUUAAAGUUGUUGCAGUUAAAAAGCUCGUAGUUGGAUUUCUGAUCGAGACAUCAGGUCGGGUCCGAGAGGAUCAUGUACUUUGAUUUUGUUUUGAUCAUCCUUGGGGAGAGCAUUUCUGGCAUUCAGUUGUCGGAAUUGGGAUCCUCAUCGUUUACUGUGAAAAAAUUAGAGUGUUCAAAGCAGGCCUCGGCCUCUGAAUACAUUAGCAUGGAAUAAUAAGAUAGGACUUUGGUGGUCUAUUUUGUUGGUUUGCACGCCAAAGUAAUGAUUAAUAGGGAUAGUUGGGGGUAUUCGUAUUCAAUUGUCAGAGGUGAAAUUCUUGGAUUUAUGGAAGACGAACUACUGCGAAAGCAUUUACCAAGGAUGUUUUCAUUAA